rnacentral:rRNA from 1 species
GACGAACGCUGGCGGCGUGCCUAAUACAUGCAAGUCGAGCGCAGGAAACAAGCAGAUCCCUUCGGGGUGACGCUUGUGAAAUGAGCGGCGGACGGGUGAGUAACACGUGGGCAACCUGCCUUGCAGACUGGGAUAACUCCGGGAAACCGGAGCUAAUACCGGAUGACCAACGGGAUCGCAUGAUCCUGUUGUAAAAGUGGGGAAUUUAUUCCUCACACUGCAAGAUGGGCCCGCGGCGCAUUAGCUAGUUGGUAAGGUAAUGGCUUACCAAGGCAACGAUGCGUAGCCGACCUGAGAGGGUGAUCGGCCACACUGGAACUGAGACACGGUCCAGACUCCUACGGGAGGCAGCAGUAGGGAAUCAUCCGCAAUGGGCGAAAGCCUGACGGUGCAACGCCGCGUGAACGGUGAAGGUUUUCGGAUCGUAAAGUUCUGUUAUGAGGGAAGAACAAGUGCCGUUCGAAUAGGUCGGCACCUUGACGGUACCUCACGAGAAAGCCCCGGCUAACUACGUGCCAGCCGCCGCCGUAAAAC